GUGUAGCCAACAAAAGAAUCUCUUGCUUUUCUCAGUUUCCAUACCACCAUCAUGGACAAAUGGCGGUAUACUCCGUACACCUGCCGACGAAAGGUAUUCGCCGGAUAAAGAGGAAGGAAUGGUCCUGUAGUCAAACGGUAGUGGGUCAUCAUCACUAUCAUGGGAUUAACGGCGGUACACCGCACACCUGCUGAGCGAAAGCUACUCGAUGACAAAAAAUGAACACUUCGCGCGCCGAUUCUUCUUUCGGUCAUAUCAUUAUCAUCCACCGUACACCUGCUGAGCGAAAGCUACUCGACGGCAAAAAAAUGAACAGUUGUACGCGCGGCAUUCUUUUUUUCUUCCCCUCCUUCUCCUCUUCUUCACCCCACCCCAGCGGACAUGAGAGACAGUUGGUCGGAAAAGGCGAGGGUGACCAAAAAGGUGAGGGUAAGAAGGUGAAAAACGAUAGUUCCAUGUUGUUUUUUAAAGGCUAACGAGGAGAAUGUUCAUAGAAAGAGUUAGGUUGAAGAUUUUUACCAGAGCUUGGUGAUUGUUUUGUGGUUGUUUUGUUAUUCCUUCAUCUUGUUUACUAAUUUACUCCUCAAUUUCUGGAUUGCCUCCUAUCUGUUUUUAUCUCUUUUUCAUUUUUUCUUUUGUCUCCAUUCUUGUCCUUACAAUCAUGUCCUUACAAUCACCAAGCUCUCGCGAAAAUCUUCAACCAACUCUUUGAAGAAGUGUGGCUUUUUCUAUGAACAUCCGUGGCACUGCAUCAGCCUCUGGAAAACAACAUUGAACUCUCAUAUUUCGGCUUUUAGCCCUCGCCGCCUUUGGGUUCUCUUCUGCGUUCUUUUUUGCUUCUCUUUCUUGUUUAUAGACUGUUUUGUGAGCCAUUUUCUAUUCUUGGUGCUAAUUGAAUUAGGCAAUUUGUCGGUUGUGGGCAUGAGAGGAACAGCCAUUAUUGUUUUAGGCAAUACGAGGAAAAUGUUUCUUGCAGAUCAUGCUGUGCGACACAUUCUGUGGAUAGUCACUUGUGUUUAUUUUUUGGUUGCUGAAAUAGUUUUUGCUUAGCAUUUAAGGAGAAAAGAUAUGAAAACAAAGUCAAUAUUCACAUACACAAAACACCGACAUUUAUAGUGUACACAUACGCUGGGGAACCCUCUUUCAUUAUGUUCUUUCAUGGAAACUUUUUUAGUAUUUAUUUAAGGCAGAGAUAAGAAGUGUAAUAAUAGAGAAAUUGGACACAUGAGAAGCAUAUAUUAUAUAUGUAUAUAUUUUCUAGAUAUUUUGAUUAUACAUAUGUUUUUUUUUGUGUGCGUAUUAUGGUUUGUCUGUGGACAGCUCGGCCCCCCCAAGCAAGAAAUCUUGGCUCUGCCCCUGCCUAGAAUAGAGUUUCAGUUCGGUAGGUGUGCUACUAGUUCCAUUCCAGGAGAUUAUAAAGCUUUCUAGUUAUUUCUUCUCAGCAAAUUCCACCGGCGUUUGUGAAGCAUCUGAGAGUUGGUGAAUCUGGAGCAGCCAUUGUCAAAGACCAUUCUGGUAGAUCUUGGAAUAUUAAAUUGUUGAGGGUGGGUGACCGUAUAAUAUUUGAGUAGGGAUGGAAGGAAUUUGUUGAGGAGAAUGGCUUAGACACAAGUUACUUUUUGGCUUUCCGAUAUGAUGGAGAGUUGCAUUUUACAGUCACCAUCUUCGACAGAAGCUCGUGUGAGAAGCUUCAAUGUGUUGAUGAGUCUCCUGCAACUCCCACUGCGGAUUUGAUUGCUGAUGAAGAGCAUUGGCAGUCUGUUGUGAUGUGGACAUGGAAGAAAAAUGCACAAGAACGGAAGCAUGGGAUGCUGCAUCUUCACUAAUGACUAACAUUCAAGAAGAUGGUGACAGAAAGCGACUCAUAUCGUAUGCAUAUUCCAGCUGACGCUCCAAAUGCAAGUUUGCCAAAUAAGACUUGUCAGGUGAAGCUUGAGGAUCCUGAUGAUAGGCAAUGGCCCGUUAAAUUCAUGAUGGGUAUCAACUCCAAGCGAGCUCAUGCAUUGCCUCGUAUGCGAAGAUCAAUGGGUUCUGGGUGGCGCAACUUCUUUGAAGAAAAUUGCCUGAAGAAACGAGAUGUCUGUGUUUUUGAAUUUAUAGCAGGAAAGAACCUAUUCAAUGUCCACAUUUUUCGGGACGGAACAUAAUGAACAUUUGUAUGCAAUUUAAUUGACAGAAUGACGAUCAUAUAUCAGUGGAGCGUUGUCAGUGCUUAUGUUCAAAUGCUAUCUAAAAGACAUUGUUAUUAUC